rnacentral:misc_RNA from 1 species
GGAGUUCUCUCUCCUAUAAACCAUUGGUAUUUCAAGUCUAUGUCUGAAUCAGUACUCUCAGAUUCAUCCUUAACAAAAUUGAAGUGGCAAUAGCAAGCAUCUUCCUCAAAUGGAUGGUCAAUAAAGGCUUCUUUGAGCAGGAAUCCUUGAGGAAGUUGUUCCUUCCAUUGCUCAAGCAGAAAGCGAAAAGUUGAAUCAACUGCUUGUUCUGGACGACAAAAUUCCCAACCACCUCUGAUGCACACGGGAGUGUGAGAAGGAUAACGUUUAGCUAGAGCUAUCUCCUCACGGGAGAGAUCUCUAUCAUUGAACUUCUUUAAAGUAGGACCGACAAGCAAAAUGGAAGCUGCCUCUAGGUGAGGCAGCCUAAGUAUAGGAUUCUCCUCCACGCGUAAAUGCUCAAGAGAAGGUAAAUAAGGGAAUCCUUUCAAUGUAGAGAUUUUGUUCUUGCUAGCAGCUAAGACCU